AUUUUUUCAAAAUGGCAAGUGAGGUGAUUUAUGCAGAAGUAUCACCAGAGGAGAGAGUGCAUUUUACUUCACAAACUUCAGAUGCAGGUGAUCAGACAACAUAUGCUGAGGUGAAAGUGAAAUGGAAAUCUGACAUGUCUGACAGUACACCCAAGAUUACACAUACAGUGGUCUGCUCUGAGAAUUCACACUGGUGUUACGUUGCUGUCACGCUGUACUUCACUGCAGUGAUUCUGCUCAUCACUGUGAUCCUCUUAGCUGUGAAAUGUCAUCAUCUCUGAGGCGGGUGGUGCAGUCCAGCUGACAUACAGGGCUUGAUCUCCCUGGCAGCUGUCUCCUGCCAUGCUGAAGACACCACAGCGGAUCCUGUGUCAAACCAAUGUCCAGUCACUGAAAGGGCAAGGACGAGUCACAGCAGGAGGGCAGCAGCUCAUGAUUUGUGCUUGCACCAGUACACCUCAGCCCAAGGCAUGGCACAAUGUGCCAUGGCCCUCAUGGCACAUAGCUGUCCUCCCUUUGCUACAGAGGACACUCACAGCAUGUCGAAUUUCAAAAAGAUAUUAGACUUCUACUAGCUUCUAUCUUUUUUAUUUCCAGAAAAGUCAGCUUGGGAAGGCUCUGCUUCUUCAGCAAAACAUGGUAUAAUACUUGUUUACUUUUACCUUAUUUUCUCUGAAGAGACUUUUAUGAAAGAAGACGUGCUGUCAGUGAUCAUGCUUCAGUUACUUCUACCAGGAGUUUCACGAAACCUUCAACCUCCCCAUAUAUGCAUAAAAUAUAUCUUAUUACUUUUAUUUUGAAUUUGAUUAGACCCAUAAUACCAGCAGCGAUCAAAUGAUAUCAGUGCUUGUGACAAGGCAUGGCCUCAAGUUGCUGAAUUAAAAGUUGGAUUUGAGGCUUGUCAAGACAGAGCAAACGACCAGAUGGGCCAAUUUAAGACAUCACUUGUAAUUCACACCUGACUUGAUUUUGCAAAAAUUUGCUAUGUACACAAACUUUUAGAUUUCAAUAUGUUCAAGUGCAAAAAUGCAGGGAUAAAACAGGGAAUAGGAAAGGUUGCAGUGGACGUGUUUUAUGACACCCUGAUCUAGAUGUGAGUUUUCCUAUCCUGACAGCCUUUGGUGGGAUUUGUAUGAAAAAGAGGUAUUGAGAGCACAAGAAAACUGUAUUAGAUUAGUAGAGAAGUCUCAGUCUUGUUCCCUCAUUAGCUUGAACAAAAACAUUCUAUUCUACUCAUCCAGAACAGUAGCUCACAGAGCCAUAAUAUGUUGUUUUUGUCUUGGGGCAGUAAUUCAUUCUGUGCUAUCUUAUGUUUCCAAAUGGCGUAGCUUCAGUUAAAUCAGAGUCCUCCACCAGAACCUCAGGUUCAAAUGCAUUUAAUUUUAGUUAUUGUUUUGGUGUUUGACUUUAUAUGGUUUUGAUUUCUCAUCAGAUAUACUGUAACUCCUUUGGGGCAGGCUGAUAUCAAUGAUUUGCAGUCCUUGAGUAGAUCUGUACAGCAAAUAAACUGUUCCCUGUAUUUAAGCUUAUCCA
rnacentral:lncRNA from 1 species